AUUGAACGCUGGCGGAAUGCUUUACACAUGCAAGUCGAGCGGCAGCGCGGCCUUCGGGCUGGCGGCGAGCGGCGAACGGGUGAGUAAUGCAUCGGAACAUGCCCAGUUGUGGGGGAUAACACUUCGAAAGAAGUGCUAAUACCGCAUACGUCGUGAGGGGGAAAGAGGGGGAUCGCAAGACCUCGCGGGAUUGGGGUGGUCGAUGUCAGAUUAGCUAGUUGGUGGGGUAAAGGCCUACCAAGGCGACGAUCUGUAGCUGGUCUGAGAGGAUGAUCAGCCACACUGGGACUGAGACACGGCCCAGACUCCUACGGGAGGCAGCAGUGUGGAAUUUUGGACAGUGGGGGCAAACCUGGUCCAGCCGUUCCGCGUGAGUGAAGAAGGCCUUCCGGUUGUAAUGCUCUUUCGGCAGGAACGAAACGGUGGGCUCUAACAUAGUCCGCUAAUGACGGUACCUGAAGAAGAAGCACCGGCUAACUACGUG
rnacentral:rRNA from 1 species